rnacentral:rRNA from 1 species
UACGUAGGGGGCGAGCGUUGUCCGGAAUUAUUGGGCGUAAAGAGCUCGUAGGCGGCUUGGCAAGUCGGAUGUGAAAACUCCAGGCUCAACCUGGAGCCGCCAUUCGAUACUGCUAUGGCUAGAGUCCGGUAGGGGAGUGUGGAAUUCCCGGUGUAGCGGUGAAAUGCGCAGAUAUCGGGAGGAACACCGAUGGCGAAGGCAGCACUCUGGGCCGACACUGACGCUGAGGAGCGAAAGCGUGGGGAGCGAACAGG